ACUCUUGUGGUGUAACGGCAACACGCGAAGCUCUGACCUUCGUAUUCUUGGUUCGAAUCCAGGCAGGAGUGC
rnacentral:tRNA from 1 species